UUUCCCUCCUCAACCAAAAAUCCCUAAUCUCCUCUUAUCUCUCUCUCUCUCUCUCUCUCUCUUCGGCGAGCGGCGGCAGACUAGGGUGUGAUCUUGGUCAUCAUCUUCUUCACUUAUCAUCUAAGAAACCCUAGAAUUUUUUAGUGUAUUUUGGGGAAAAGAAAAGAUAGGUGAAUGGGGGAAGGAGAGAGGAGUCGCCAGCGCCGAUCCGCUUUAACCUCACUACCGAACCUUCCAAGGAGUUGCCAACUAUCCUCCUCCUCCUCCUCCUCCUCAUCCUCAUCCUCAGCCCGCCAUCGGCUUCCCUCAACCUGUUCCUCCCCCAGGCGCCUCCGAACCCUAUGCUAAUGCCUAUCAAGCCGUUCGAGAAGAUUCAAUGGUGAAGUUGGAUAGAAUCUGUCGGGAAGCAAAUGUCAUGUUGGUAUUUGCACACUCCUAUGGCCUCACAGGGUUUGUUCGGAUCAGUGUGAAGGAACAUACUGUGAUUGAGUCAAAGCCUGAUCAUUUUCUGGAUGAUCUCCGACUAAAUUGCCCAUGGCCUGAGUUGAGGAGGUAUGGGUCUCAAAACUUAUUUUUUCAUUUGUUUGGUUGACUGUUGUGAGUUGUUUAUUUUGGCGCAUUAAUUGUUAGUCUGUAUAUGCUAAUGGCAUUUAAUUUUUUGUUACAAAAAAUUUGGGACAUGAAUUUUUGGGAAACAAAUUUAUCACGAGCUAU